AGAAAGAAAGAAAGAAAGAAAGAAAGGAAGAAAGAAAGAAAAAAAGAAAGAAACCUGAGGAGUAGAUUUAGUUUGUAGGAGUUGAUAUUCCAAAUAGAAGACACUAAGUUAGGUACAAACACAGGGUGAUGACAAAGGGCCACAGCACACAGUUUGUAAAGAGGAUCAUAAGGUCACAGAGAAACUGUGCAACAGACAGAAAGCAGAAGUUUCAAAGUCCCAUGAAACAUUCUUGAAGCAGGAGGCACAAAAGGGUAAGAAUCCCAGCAAAGGGAACUUGGAAGGGUGACUCCUGAAUGAGAAAGAAGAGAAGCUCAGAAGUUCUUGACAAAAGUUCUCUGCCCCCAGGUCGGUUCAUGAAGUGAGCUGCUCUCCUGUGCCACAUAAUAUUCUACCCAAAAGCAUGAGGCCGGCCGAGAGACCACGAGACUUGAGCCAAAGCGAAUUGGUUUUUCUCUUCAGUUGUCCCUUUGGAUGUUUUCUCACAACAGUGAGAAAGUGAUUCUAGAGUCUAUAUUCACCAUCUCCAGGUUGGCACGCUCCUGGCUGAACAGCACAAACGCCAGCAGAUCUGAGAUAAGAGAGAUCUCAGAGGCUUGAAAAGACAUGAACUGCCCAGCCACCAAAUACAGCUUUGGAGAGUUCCUUCUAGGCCUCCUUCUCACGGGGCCAAGUAUUUGCUAAAGGUGUGGUUGGAAACAAUUGGUGAUAUUCCCCCCUCUUUGUAUCCUGUAGUUCAACUUGAAGUCUUAAGAGUUUGUUAAACAAAUGAACGCAUGACUUCCCCAGUUUACACCCAAUACCCAGUUUUUCUGAGAAGGGGAGAGAGAUUCCCACAUGCUGCGUCUAUGCUAUUGAAGUGAAAAUCAACACAAAAUGCUGCUCUUUCUUGGCUUCAAGAUUGCUUCCCUUAUCUUUGACCCUGUCCUGCUCUCCCACUUUCAAUCACCCCUUUGCCAUGUGUUUUCUUUCAUGUUACCUCUAAGGGCAAAGCUCAAAAAGUUACUAUGUAACAAGCCUUUACCUCCUUCUCCCUUGUAAAAUAAAACCAUAUCUGCCCCCACC